AGUGAACGCUGGCGGUAGGCCUAACACAUGCAAGUCGAACGGCAGCACAGUAAGAGCUUGCUCUUACGGGUGGCGAGUGGCGGACGGGUGAGGAAUACAGCGGAAUCUACUUUUUCGUGGGGGAUAACGUAGGGAAACUUACGCUAAUACCGCAUACGACCUACGGGUGAAAGCAGGGGAUCUUCGGACCUUGCCCGAUUGAAUGAGCCGAUGUCGGAUUAGCUAGUUGGCGGGGUAAAGGCCCACCAAGGCGACGAUCCGUAGCUGGUCUGAGAGGAUGAUCAGCCACACUGGAACUGAGACACGGUCCAGACUCCUACGGGAGGCAGCAGUGGGGAAUAUUGGACAAUGGGCGCAAGCCUGAUCCAGCCAUACCGCGUGGGUGAAGAAGGCCUUCGGGUUGUAAAGCCCUUUUGUUGGGAAAGAAAAGCAGCAGGUUAAUACCCCGCUGUUCUGACGGUACCCAAAGAAUAAGCACCGGCUAACUUCGUG
rnacentral:rRNA from 1 species